rnacentral:rRNA from 1 species
UACAGAGGGGGCAAGCGUUGUUCGGAAUUACUGGGCGUAAAGGGUGCGUAGGCGGCGCGGUAAGUCGGGUGUGAAAUCUCGGAGCUUAACUCCGAAACUGCAUUCGAUACUGCCGUGCUUGAGGACUGGAGAGGAGACUGGAAUUUACGGUGUAGCGGUGAAAUGCGUAGAUAUCUGGAGGAGCACCGGUGGCGAAGGCGGCAUCCUGGACCGGUAUUGACGCUGAGGCGCGAAAGCCAGGGGAGCAAACGGG